rnacentral:rRNA from 1 species
GACGAACGCUGGCGGCGUGCUUAACACAUGCAAGUCGAACGGAAAGGCCCUGCUUUUGUGGGGUGCUCGAGUGGCGAACGGGUGAGUAACACGUGAGUAACCUGCCCUUGACUUUGGGAUAACUUCAGGAAACUGGGGCUAUUACCGGAUAGGAGCUCCUGCUGCAUGUUGGGGGUUGGAAAGUUUCGGCGGUUGGGGAUGGACUGGCGGCUUAUCAGCUUGUUGGGGGGGUAGUGGCUUACCAAGGCUUUGACGGGUAGCCGGCCUGAGAGGGUGACCGGGCACAUUGGGACUGAGAUACGGCCCAGACUCCUACGGGAGGCAGCAGUGGAGAAUAUUGCACAAUGGGCGGAAGUCUGAGGCAGCAACGCCGCGUGCGGGAUGACGGCCUUCGGGUUGUAAACCGCUUUCGCCUGUGACGAAGCGUGAGUGACGGUAAUGGGUAAAGAAGCACCGGCUAACUACGUG